GAUGAACGCUGGCGGCGUGCCUAAUACAUGCAAGUAGAACGCUGAAGGAAGGAGCUUGCUCUUUCCGGAUGAGUUGCGAACGGGUGAGUAACGCGUAGGUAACCUGCCUGGUAGCGGGGGAUAACUAUUGGAAACGAUAGCUAAUACCGCAUAACAGUAGAUGUUGCAUGAUAUCUACUUAAAAGGUGCAAUUGCACCACUACCAGAUGGACCUGCGUUGUAUUAGCUAGUUGGUGAGGUAACGGCUCACCAAGGCGACGAUACAUAGCCGACCUGAGAGGGUGAUCGGCCACACUGGGACUGAGACACGGCCCAGACUCCUACGGGAGGCAGCAGUAGGGAGUCUUCGGCAAUGGACGGAAGUCUGACCGAGCAACGCCGCGUGAGUGAAGAAGGUUUUCGGAUCGUAAAGCUCUGUUGUAAGAGAAGAACGAGUGUGAGAGUGGAAAGUUCACACUGUGAUGGUAUCUUACCAGAAAGGGACGGCUAACUACGUG
rnacentral:rRNA from 1 species